rnacentral:misc_RNA from 1 species
GAUGAAGAACGCAUCGAAAUGCGAUAAGUAAUGCGAAUUGCAGAAUUCAGUGAGUCAUCGAAUCUUUGAACGCACAUUGCGCCCUGUGGUAUUCCGCAGGGCAUGCCUGUUCGAGCGUCAUUUCAACCCUCAAGCCUCGCUUGGUGUUGGGCCCUGCCCGCCGCGGCCGGCCCUAAAGAUAGUGGCGGCGCCGCCUGGCCCUCAGCGUAGUACAGCUCUCGCUCCAGGGUCCGGCGGCAGCCUGCCAGAACCCCCCAACUCUGUGGUUGACCUCGGAUCAGGUAGGGAUACCCGCUGAACUUAAGCAUAUCAAUAAGCGGAGGA